rnacentral:lncRNA from 1 species
GCAGUGGCAUGAUCUCAGCUCACUGCAACCACUGCCUACCGGGUUCAACAAAUUCUCCUGCCUCAGCCUCCCGAGCAGCAGGGACUACUGGCACAUGCCACCACACCCAGCUCAUUUUUGUAUUUUUAGUACAGAUGGGGUUUCACCAUGUUGGCCAGAAUGGUCUCCAUCUCUUGACCUCGUGAUCUGCCUGCCCUGGCCUCCCGAAGUGUUGGGAUUAUAGGCGUAAGCUACCGUACCCAAUUUUUUUUUCUUUUGAGAGAGGGUCUCACUCUAUCACCCAGGCUGGAGUACAGUGGUGCGAUCUCAGCUCACUGUAACCUCCACUUCCUGGGCUAAAGUAAAGUAAUCCUCCCACCUCAGCAUCCUGAGUAGCUGGGACCACAGUUGCACACUACCACACCUGGCUAAUUUUUUUGUAUAUACCUUUUUUCGAGACAGAGUCUCGCUCUGUCGCCCAGGCUGGUGUAAUCUUGGCUUACUGCAACCUCCGCCUCCCGGGUUCAAGCAAUUCUCUUGCCUAGGCCUCCUGACUAGCUAGGACUACAGGAGCAUGCCACUAUGCCCGGCAAAUUUUUUUUGUAUUCUAGUAGAGACAGAGGUUCACUGUGUUGCCCCGGCUGGUCUCAAACUCCUGAGCUCAGGCAAUCGGCCUCCCUUAGUCUCCCAAAGUGCUAGGAUUACAGGCGUGAGCCACCGCUCCNNNNNNNNNNAAAAAAAAAAAAAAAAAAAAAAAGAUGAUGUUCCACCAUGUUGCCCAGGCUGGUCUACUGUAUAAUCUACCCACACUGGCCUCUCAAAGUGCUGGGUCUGGUGUGAGACACUGCACCCAGCCUUAAAACUUAUUUAAAUCACAAAUAAGCAAAUACUUAAAAGAUCUGAAGUUAGUCACUUUCUUAUAUACUGGCAAUGAACAAAUGGAAUUCAGAAUUAAAAAUACACCAUUUACACCAAAAAAAAGAGAAAGAGGAAUAAAUCUAACUAAAUAUUUACAAAUUAUAUAUGAGGAAAACCACAAAAUUCUGAAGAAAUCAAAGAACUAAAUAAAUGGAGAUAUUCUAUGUUCACAGAUAUGAAGACACAAUACUGUCAAGAUGUUCUUCCUAAUUUGAUAUAUAGACUAAACAGAAUCCCAAAGUCCCAUUUAAAUUCAGCACUUCUGCCCUGUGAAAGACACUGUCAAAAGAGUAAGACAACCCACAGACCGGGAGAUAUUUUUGCAAAAGACAUAUCCGUAUUUUUUAAAAGUUUAAAAAAAAAACUCUUAAAACUGAACAAUAGGAAAACAACCCAAUUUAAAAAUGGGCAAAAGAUUUGAACAGACACCUAACCAAAGCAGAUAUACCCAUGGCAAAAAAGCAUAUGAAAAGAUGGCCAAUAUAUAUGCCAUUAGAGAACCGCAAAUUAAAACAACGAGAUACUGCUACACACCUAUCAGGAUGGCAAAAAAUCCAAAACACUAACACCACCAAAUCCGGAAAAGGAUGUGCUGGUAGGAGGGCAAAAUGAUACAGCCACUUUAGAAUACAGUUUGGUACUUUUUCGCAAAACUAAACACAGUAUUCCCAUAUAAUCCAGCAAUCAUGCCUCCUUGGUAUUUACCCAAAGGAGCUGAAAACUUAUGUCCACACAAAGAACUGCACACAGAUGUUUAUAGUAACUUUACCAAAAUUGCCAAAACUUGGAGGCAACCAAGAUGUCCUUCAGUAGGUGACUGGGUAAAUAAACCGGUACAUCCAGACAAUGGAAUAUUACUCAGUGCUAAAAAAGAAUGAGCUAUCAAGCCAUGAAAAGACACAGAGAAAACAUAAACAUCUAUUACUAAGUUAAAGAAGCUGGCUUGGCACAGUGGCUCAUGCCUGUUAUCCCAGUGUUUUGUAAAAUUAAGACAGGAAGACCACUUGAGGCCAGGAGUUAGAGACCAAGCUGGGCAACACAAGACCCCUGUCUCUACAAAAAAUUAAAAUAUAAAAAUUUGCCUUUAGCUGGGCAUGGUGGCAUGCACUGUAGUCCCAGCUACUUGAGGGGCUGAGGCAGGAGGAUCGCUUGAACCCACAAGGUCCAGGCUGCAGUGAGCCGAGAUGGCAUCACUGCACUACAGCCUGGGUGACAAAGUGAGAUCCUGUCUCCAAAACAAAACAAAACAAAAAAGCCAGGCGUGGCUGUGUGCACCUGCAGUCCCAGCUACUCAGGAGGCUGAGGCAGGGGAAUCGCUUGAACCCGGGAGGCAGAGGUUGCAGUGAGCCAAGAUCGCGCCACUGCACUCCAGCCUGGGCGACAGAGCAAGACUGUCAAAAAAAAAAAAACCCUAAUAAGUGGGCAAAGAACAUGAAACAAUAUUUUUCAAAAGGCAAAUUGCCAACAAAUACGAAAAAAAUGCUCAACAUCAAUAAUCAUCAGAGAAAUGCAAAUUAAAACCACAAUGAAAUACCAUCUUACACCACUCAGAAAGGCUACUAUUAAAAAGUCAAAAACAACAGAUGCUGGCAAGGAUGUGAAGAAAAAGGAACCCUUGAACACUGUUGGUGGGAAUGUAAAUUAGUACAACUUGUAUGGAAAUCAGUAUGGAGAUUUCUUACAGAACUACAAAUACAACUACCAUUCUAUCCAGCAGUCCCACUACUGGGUAUCCCCAAAGGGAAAGAAAUCAUCAUGUCAAAAAGAUAACCUGCACUCGUGUAUUGUAGCACUAUUCACAAUAGCAAAGAUAUGGCCUCAACCUAAGUGUCCAACAAUGGAUGACUGGAUAAAGAAAAUGCAGUGUAUAUAUACACCAAGAAAUACUACUGAGUUAUAAAAAAGAAUGAAAGUGUAUCUUGUGCAGCAACCUGGACAGAACUGGAGGCCGUUAUCCUAAGCAAAACAACUCAGAAACAGUCAAAUACCGAUGUUCUCACUUACAAGUGGGAGCUAAACAAUGGGUACACAUGCACAUACGGAGUGGAAAAACAGACACUGAAGACUCCAAAACAUGGGAGGGCAAAAAAGGUGAAAAAGUUACCUUUUGGGUACAAUGUUCACUAUUAGGGCAAUGAGUACACUAAAAGGCCAGACUUUACCACUACACAAUAUAUCCGGUAAGAAAACCGUACCUGUGACUCCCUCUGCCCCAGAGGCCCCCUUCCUAGCCAGAUGGCUGGGUGUGCAGUGCCCUCGACCCCAUGAACAAAUGAGCACAUCUUCUGUGUCGCCAGGGACUCCAGCCCAUGCCAUGGUGGAUUCCGAGGGCCUCUCGGACCCCAGGGACUCCGGCGGUGAUUAUAUAUAUAUACAUAGGUUUUCAUCCAUGGUUCCUGGUUCCUAACUCCCAUAGUCUUUGUUAUAAUGUUAGAGUGCUUAAGGCCUCAGGAAACAGGAUCUAUGACCUUCUCCUAUCCUUCUUUCCCCUGCCCAAGGCAGGACUCUAAUCUCACUGUGGGUCAGAAGACCGUCAUUCCAGAGAGGGUCCUGCCCCAUACCUUAGAAGAAGGAAUGCUACACAGACAGCCCAAGAAAAGUCUGAGCAGACAUGCCUUGCUUGUCUAAUAAUCACAUUUCUACAGCUGUCAACCAUGCCUAUGUAAUGAAGCCUCCAUAAAAACCCGAAAGAACAGGGUUCAGAGAGCUUCCAGAUAGCUGAAUGCAUGAGGUUCCUCCUGAAGGGUGGUGUGCCCAGGGAGGGCAUGGACACUGCACUUUUUCCCCUACACCUUGCCCUGUGCAUCUUUUCAUCUGUAUCCUUUGUAAUAUCCUUUAUAAUAAACUGGUAAACGUAAGUAGAUGUUUCUCUGAGUUCUGUGAACCACUCCAGCAAAUUAACUGAACCCAAAGAGGGGGUCGUGGGAACCCCAACUUGAAGCUGGUCAAAGCUCUAGAGGCCCAAACAUGGGACUGGUGAUAGAAGGGGGAGAGGGCAGUCUUGGGGACUGAGUCCACAAACCGUGGGAUCUGAUGCUACCUCCAGGAAGACAGUGUUGGAAUUGAAUUGGAGGGCACCUAACUGGUGUCUGCUGCUUGCUGUGUGGGGGAAAGAAACCCACACCUUUGGUCACAGAAGUCUUUUGUGUUGAUGAUUGUGGCGGUGUGACAGCAAAGAAAAAACAUGGGUUGAGGGUUUUUCCCUAUACGUGUAUACAGAACUUCUUCCCAAGGUUCAGGGUAAGCAGAGAACAGUGACUCAAAAUCACCAAGGAGUUCACAGCAUGUGGUGGAAGGAGGAGAGGGUGGAGGAGAUUCUCCUCAGCCUCAGAGAUGUAUCUCAAUGACCUGAGUGCUUUCUUGCGUAUCCUAAUGCUGUAAGAUAGGGGACACUUCCUUACAAGCAAAGGAAUUGUAAUGCAAAAACUGCUAAUAAGGGCUGAAAAAAGGAGAGGUAAAUAUAGUCAAAUGCCAAUCCUGAAAAAAUUAAAAGGGAAAAAUAGGAGUGGUGACUGACUGUGCUUUGAGAAUAACUACAAAAUGAGAGUGCAUAUUUCUCUUUGGGCUCCCCUGGCACAGAAAGCCAAAUCUCACAGGUGAGAAGAAGAGAAAUUUCACUCUCCAUGACCACACCUACUUACUGAGCUGAACUUGGUUUAAUAAAGUCCAGCAUUCUAGAAAUCAGAAGAGGGGUCCCUCUCCCUCUCCCCAGUCUCCCUCUCAUGCCACCAAAGUUGUGAAAGCCGAGGCUGGACUGUAUUGCCGCCAUCUCGACUCACUGCAACCUCCCUGCCUGAUUCUCCUGCCUCAGCCGGCAGAGUGCCUGGGAUUGCAGGCGUGCGCCGCCACGCCUGACUGGUUCUUGCAUUUUUUGGUGGAGACGGGGUUUCGCCGUGUUGGCCGGGCUGGUCUCCAGCUCCUGACCGCAAGUGAUCUGCCUGCCUCGGCCUCCCGA